UAUGAAGAACGUAGCGAAAUGCGAUACGUAAUGUGAAUUGCAAAUUCAGUGAAUCAUCGAGUCUUUGAACGCACAUUGCGCCCCCUGGUAUUCCGGGGGGCAUGCCUGUCCGAGCGUCAUUGCUGCCCUCAAGCACGGCUUGUGUGUUGGGCCCCGUCCUCCGAUUCCGGGGGACGGGCCCGAAAGGCAGCGGCGGCACCGCGUCCGGUCCUCGAGCGUAUGGGGCUUUGUCACCCGCUCUGUAGGCCCGGCCGGCGCUUGCCGAUCAACCCAAAUUUUUAUCCAGGUUGACCUCGGAUCAGGUAGGGAUACCCGCUGAACUUAAGCAUAUCAAUAAGCGGAGGA
rnacentral:misc_RNA from 1 species